rnacentral:rRNA from 1 species
UGUUGUUAAGGAACUCGGCAAAAUGACCCCGUAACUUAGGGAUAAGGGGUGCCACCAUCAGGUGGCCGCAGAGAAUAGGCCCAAGCGACUGUUUACCAAAAACAUAGGUUUCUGCUAAGUCGCAAGACGAUGUAUAGGAGCUGACGCCUGCCCGGUGCUGGAAGGUUAAGGGGAUCUGUUAGAGCAAUCGAAGCAGUGAACUUAAGCCCCAGUAAACGGCGGCCGUAACUAUAACGGUCCUAAGGUAGCGAAAUUCCUUGUCGGGUAAGUUCCGACCCGCACGAAAGGCGUAACGAUUUGGGCACUGUCUCAACAACAGACUCGGUGAAAUUGUAAUUCCGGUGAAGAUGCCGGAUACCUGCGACAGGACGGAAAGACCCCAUGGAGCUUUACUGUAGCUUGACAUUGGGUCUUGGUACUACAUGUACAGGAUAGGUGGGAGGCUUUGAAACCAGGACGCCAGUUUUGGCGGAGCCAUCCUUGGGAUACCACCCUUGUAGUACUGGGACUCUAACCAUAGGCCAUGAAUCUGGUCUUGGGACACUGUCAGGUGGGCAGUUUGACUGGGGCGGUCGCCUCCCAAAAGGUAACGGAGGCGCUCAAAGGUUCUCUCAGUACGGUCGGAAAUCGUACGUAGAGUGUAAAGGCAAAAGAGAGCUUGAUUGCAAGACAUACAGGUCGAGCAAGGAUGAAAAUCGGACUUAGUGAUCCGGUGGUUCUGCGUGGAAGGGCCAUCGCUCAACGGAUAAAAGCUACCCUGGGGAUAACAGGCUUAUCUCCCCCAAGAGUCCACAUCGACGGGGAGGUUUGGCACCUCGAUGUCGGCUCAUCACAUCCUGGGGCUGUAGUAGGUCCCAAGGGUUGGGCUGUUCGCCCAUUAAAGUGGUACGCGAGCUGGGUUCAGAACGUCGUGAGACAGUUCGGUCCCUAUCCGUCGCAGGCGUAGGAAAUUUGAGAAGACCUGUCCUUAGUACGAGAGGACCGGGAUGGACG